GAUGAAGAACGCAGCAAAAUGCGAUACUUGGUGUGAAUUGCAGAAUCCCGUGAACCAUCGAGUUUUUGAACGCAAGUUGCGCCCGAAGCCUUUUGGCCGAGGGCACGUCUGCCUGGGCGUCACGCAUCGCGUCGCCCCCCACAAUUCUCCGUAAAGGGAACGUGUGUUUUGGGGGCGGAUAUUGGUCUCCCGUGCUCAUGGCGUGGUUGGCCGAAAUAGGAGUCCUUUCGAUGGACGCACGAACUAGUGGUGGUCGUAAAAACCCUCGUCUUUUGUUUCGUGCUGUUGCUCGCAAGGUAAACUCUUUAAAAACCCCAAUGUGUAGUCUCUUGACGACGCUUCGACCGCGACCCCAGGUCAGGCGGGACUACCCGCUGAGUUUAAGCAUAUCAAUAAGCGGAGGA
rnacentral:misc_RNA from 1 species